rnacentral:lncRNA from 1 species
CCUGUCUCUAGCACUCAAAAAUCACUUGGCAUUCAAAAAUUAUAGAUUUGGGGGUUUAUUCUGCAAGGACAGGAAAAGCAGUAAUUUUGUGUAACAGGGAAGAGAGGUGGUGAGUUAAUGAUGUGGUUGCAGCCAUGUUGGCUUCAGAACCAAGCCAGUGACGUGUGGCAUUCACCAUGGAAAAGUAGUUACUGACCCACCAGGCUUCAUGUUACUUUAACUUGAUGACUGCUGCCUCAGUGCAUCACAUUUUACUUUUCCUCCAACUGUUUCAGUCCAUUUUAGAGGAGAGGACAGACAAGUUGUGCCAUUCCAAUUCUGAACACAGUGUUCCCAAGUCACCCCCACCCAGGGAUGCUACCCCAUCAGGCUGAGGGGAAGAAAGGACACAGACCACCUUGAACCCUGUAGGCCAACACAGGCGGAGAUGAAGAUGCUGCAUUAGGUGUGCUUCAGGAUGCUGCUCCUCAUUGGUGAGAGCAGGGUGCUCACAGGGAUGGCCAUGGGGCUCAGGCUGAUCAGAUGUUGGGCAGAGCUCAGCUGUGAGCGAGGAACUGAUGGGCCAGGCUUCCUGCUUCAUCCUGCACCUGCCUCCUUGAAAGAAAACAAGACAUCAGAUACUUAUUCAAAUAAUGCAAUAGCUGAUCAGCAGAGUAUCUACACAAUGGUGUUGAGAUUUCAUCACACUGGAGGGCAGUGAGGCUCAGCUUCAAGCAGAUAAGGUGUUUUGUGUUGGUGGAAAGACAGGCGAGCAUGCAAAUAAGUGGAAAGUGGGCUUAAGGUAAG